rnacentral:rRNA from 1 species
UACGUAGGGAGCAAGCGUUGUUCGGAUUUACUGGGCGUAAAGGGCGCGUAGGCGGCAAUUCAAGUCAUCUGUGAAAUCUCCGGGCUUAACUCGGAACGGUCAGAUGAUACUGCUUUGCUAGAGUGCAGAAGGGGCAAUCGGAAUUCUCGGUGUAGCGGUGAAAUGCGUAGAUAUCGAGAGGAACACCAGAGGCGAAGGCGACUUCCUGGCCUGUUCUUGACGCUGAGGCGCGAAAGCUAGGGGAGCAAACGGG